rnacentral:lncRNA from 1 species
AUCAUACUUGAAACCAUUUAUAUUAUCAAACAACUCAAUGUUGAAUGAUAAAACUAUAAAAUUAUUUAAAAAAAAAAACAACGAAAAAACCUCUUUAAACUUAGUGAACUUGCAAACUUUAUGAUUAUGGAUUGAGAUAAAAUCAAAAUAAUUAAUUAAAAAAAAAACAACUCGCAUUAUUGAAAUAUUUAAAUAAUAUAAACAAAAAAAUAC